rnacentral:lncRNA from 1 species
GACCAUUUGAUCAAGCAGAAGCAACAAAUUAGUCCGUAUCAUGUAGUGUGGGUCCAUGGGAGGAGGAAUUCACCGCAACGGUAACGUUGAACGGGCAGAAGCGAUGUUUAUCUGUUUCAAUCGUUGGUCGAAAAAACAACACACAAUGCAUCUGCAGAGUGUCACCUUAUGCUUGUGUGGUUGGUAAUUACCAAUUGCUUUUAAAAAGUCCUCUUUCGGAGCUCUUGAAUGGCACCAGACAUGAGUGGUACUGUAAUACCUAAAAUUGUGUAUGCGCCGUUGCAUCAAUUCUGCUUCUUUAUUUCUGAACACAUGGCCGUGAAAUUCUGGUCAGCUUAAUGUCAAUUAUAUUUUGGAAGCGCUAGGUUUUGGAAAGUCCGUGUCAGAUUGUAGGACGCGUCUAGCGAGCGAGGCCGCUCGCUAGCGCUUUAAAGCAGCCUUCCACUUUUAGUAAAUUUGUGUCCCUGUCAAACAAAUUAGGAAAGAUUCUGUCCUAUUGGCUAGGAAAAGUAUCAUUCAACGAUGUUUUGAAAAAGAAAGAUUAUAACGCACUCAUGAGACAUGUCUGAACGCGUUUAAUUUGGAGUUCAACCUCUUUUAAAAUGUCAUAACUUUUGAACCGAAUAUAGAAAUUAAGAUUCGUUUUCACUGUUGGAUUCCUCGCGAUGUCCUCUUCGAAACUAGACCCAAUAUGCGCCUGUUUCGAAAAAACUUUUUCGUGUGCAAUUUAGGCACCGUUUGGUGCAACUGUCUAGUUCUCGUUGUGCAACUACUGAUACUCGAUGUGCAACUUUUUUCUGACUCGUGGACAUGCACUUUCACUCGCAAACAUAUGUGCAACCAGUUAUCUGCUUUCGUGCAACUACAGCAAUUCAAGCAGCCAACUAUGGGCACACUGUCUCAAAAAAAAGUAGACAGAAAAUAUAUCCACAAUAGUUGUGUGCAAACAAAACAUAGGCAGAUUUAAGCUGCUUUCAUGCAACUAAAUCAGUUCCAGCAACCAAAAAAGUAGACACACUGUGUGCAAAAAUUAUGUGCAACAAAAAAGAUGUGCAACAACAUAGUAAGUUUGUCAGCAUCCCAAGCACCAAACCAGUAAACCCAGCCAUUAUUGUGGCAACUGCAGCACCAAGUGAGCCAGCAGCAGGUCCAAAUGAACCAACUGUAUCAGAUGUUGUGCCAACUCCACUAGCAAGUGAGCCAUCUACAGACACAACUGUGCAACCACAACAACCAGGUGGAGGGAAAGUGAGGAUCCAUUAAAUUUCUUCCUCUUUAACUUCCCCUUCACCUCCCCUCCCGACCUUGUUUACCCAUGGCUUUGUCAUCUUCAAAAAAAAGUGUAGACUCCUAUAGACUUCCUUCUUGAGAUGAUUGUGCAUUUUGAAAUUUAUGUGCUAUAGCUGGUUUAGUUUGAAGUAUAAUGCUGCAGUGAAACAAAAACGUUCCAGCAAUGAUGAAGUGGGGCACUUCCAUUUGCCAUGCUGAUAUUAAAUUUCCAGUUAUUUCCAUGGCAUGUAUGGACUAGUUAGCCUAGAGACUUGGCAGAUUUAUCUACCUGGUUCUGUUUUUUCGUAUCCCUGACCAUCCUCCCAUUUGCAGCAUUCAGUAUGUGUUGUCAAACAUCGACAACUGCAUCCAGUACGGGGAAGAUGCUGAUGUGAAAGUUAGGGAUUUCAUUCCUAAGGAUGAUGAUUGACCAUUUGAUCAAGCAGAAGCAACAAAUUAGUCUGUAUCAUGUAGUGUGGGUCCAUGGGAGGAGGAAUUCACCGCCACACGAUAACGCUGAACGGGCAUAAGUGAUGUUUAUCUGUUUCAAUCGUUGGUCGGAAAAACAAAAGAGAAUGCAUCUGCAGAGUGUAUUUAGUCACCUUAUGCUUGUGUGGUUGGUAAUUACCAAUUGCUUUUAAAAAGUCCUCCUCUUCCGGAGCUCUUGAAUGGCACCAGACAUGAGUGGUACUGUAAUACCAUGGUACUGUAAUACCAAGAAUAGUGUAUGCGCCUUUGCAUCAAUUCUGCUCCUUUAUUUCUGAACACAUGGCCGUGAAAUUCUGGUCAGCUUAAUGUCAGUUAUAUUUUGGAAGCGCUAGGUUUUGGAAAGUCCGUGUCAGAUUGUAGGACGCGUCUAGCGAGCGAGCGGUCGCUCGCUAGCGCUCCAAAGCAGCCUUCCACUUUUAGUAAAUUUGUGUCCCUGUCAAACAAAUUAGGAAAGAUUCUGUCCUAUUGGCUAGGAAACGUAUCAUUCAACGAUGUUUAAAAAAAGAAAGAUUAGAAAGCACUCAUGAGACAUGUGUGAACACAUUUAAUUUGGAGUACAACUUCUUUUAAAAUGUCAUAACUUUUGAACCGAAUAUCAAAAUUAAGAUCCACUUUCAUCGUUGGAUUCCUCGCGAUGUCCUCUUCGAAACUAGAUCCCAUAUGCGCCCGUUUCGAAAAAACUUUUUUGUGUGCAAUUUAGGCACCGUUUGGUGCAACUGUCUAGUCCUCGUUGUGCAACCACUGACACUCGAUGUGCAACUUUUUUCUGACUCGUGGACAUGCACUUUUCACUCAUGCGAACAUAUGUGCAACCAGUUAUCUGCUUUCGUGCAACUACAACAAUUCAAGCAGCCAACUAUGGACACACUGUCUGAAAAAAAAGUAGACAGAAAAUAUAUCCACAAUAGUUGUGUGCAAACAAAACAUAGGCAAAUUUAAGCUGCUUUCAUGCAACUAAAUCAGUUCCAGCAGCCAAAAAAGUAGACACACUGUGUGCAAAAAUUAUGUGCAACAAGAAAGAUGUGCAAUAACAUGGUAUGUCAGCAUCCCAAGCACCAAACCAGUAAACCCAGCCAUUAUUGUGGCAAUUGCAGCACUAAGUGAGCCAGCUGCAGGUCCAAAUGAACCAACUAUAUCAGCCGUUGUGCCAACUCCACCAGCAAGUGUGCCAUCUGCAGACACAACUGUGCAACCACAGCAACCAGGUGGAGGGAAAGUGAGGAUCCAUUAAAUUUCUUCCUCUUUAACUUCCCCUUCACCUCCCCUCCCGACCUUGUUUACCCAUGGCUUUGUCAUCUUCAAAAAAAAGCGUAGACUCCUAUAGACCUCCUCCUUGAGAUGAUUGUGCAGUUGAAAUUUAUGUGCUAUAGCUGGUUUAGUUUGAAGUAUAACGCUGCAGUGAAACAAAACGUUCCAGCAAUGAUGAAGUGUUGCACUUCCAUUUGCCAUGCUGAUAUUAAAUUUCCAGUUAUUUCCAUGGCAUGUAUGGACCAGUUAGCCUAGAGACUUGGCAGAUUUAUCUACCUGGUUCUGUUUUUUGGUAUCCCUGACCAUCCUCCCAUUUGCAGCAUUCAAUAUGUGCUGUCAAACAUCGACAACUGCAUCCAGUACGGGGAAGAUGCUAAUGUGAAAGUUAGGGAUUAAUUCCUGAGGAUGAUGAUUGACCAUUUGAUCAAGCAGAAGCAACAAAUUAGUCUGUAUCAUGUAGUGUGGGUCCAUGGGAGGAGGAAUUCACCGCCACACGGUAACGUUGAACGGACAGAAGCGAUGUUUAUCUGUUUCAAUCGUUGGUCGAAAAAACAACACACAAUGCAGCUGCAGAUUGUAUUUAGUCACCUUAUGCUUGUGUGGUUGGUAAUUACCAAUUGCUUUUAAAAAGCCCUCCUCUUCCGGAGCUCUUGAAUGGCACCAGACAUGGGUGAUACUGUAAUACCAUGGUACUGUAAUACCUAAAAUAGUGUAUGCGCGUUGCAUCAAUUCUGCUCCUUCAUUUCUGAACACAUGGCCGUGAAAUUCUGGUCAGCUUAAUGUCAGUUAUAUUUUGGAAGCGCUAGGUUUUGUAAAGUCCGUGUUAGAUUGUAGGACGCGUCUAGCGAGCGAGCGACCGCUCGCUAGCGCUCCAAAGCAGCCUUCCACUUUUAGUAAAUUUGUGUCCCUGUCAAACAAAUUAGGAAAGAUUCUCUCCUAUUGGCUAGGAAAAGUAUCAUUCAACGAUGUUUUGAAAAAGAAAGAUUAGAAAACACUUAUGAGACAUGUGUGAACGCAUUUAAUUUGGAGUACAACUUGUUUUAAAAUGUCAUAACUUUUGAACCGAAUAUCAAAAUUAAGAUCCGCUUUCACCGUUGGAUUCCUCACGAUGUCCUCUUCGAAACUAGAUCCCAUAUGCGUCUGUUUCGAAAAAACUUUUUGUGUGCAAUUUAGGCACCGUUUGGUGCAACUAUCUAGUCCUUGUUGUGCAACUACUGACACUCGAUCUGCAACUUUUUUCUGACUCAUGGACAUGCACUGUCACUCAUGCGGACAUAUGUGCAACCAGUUAUCUGCUUUCGUGCAACUACAGCAAUUCAAGCAGCCAACUAUGGGCACACUGUCUGAAAAAAAAGUAGAUAGAAAAUAUAUCCACAAUAGUUGUGUGCAAACAAAACAUAGGCAAAUUUAAGCUGCUUUCAUGCAACUAAAUCAGUUCCAGCAGCCAAAAAAGUAGACACACUGUGUGCAAAAAUUAUGUGCAACAAAAAAGAUGUGCAACAACAUGGUAAGUAUGUCAGCAUCCCAAGCACCAAACCAGUAAACCCAGCCAUUAUUGUGGCAACUGCAGCACCAAGUGAGCUAGCAGCAGGUCCAAAUGAACCAACUGUAUCAGCCGUUGUGCCAACUCCACCAGCAAGUGAGCCAUCUGCAGACACAACUGUGCAACCACAGCAACCAGGUGGAGGGAAAGUGAGGAUCCAUUAAAUUUCUUCCUCUUUAACUUCCCCUUCACCUCCCCUCCCGACCUUGUUUACCCAUGGCUUUGUCAUCUUCAAAAAAAAGCGUAGACUCCUAUAGACUUCCUUCUUGAGAUGAUUGUGCAGUUGAAAUUUAUGUGCUAUAGCUAGUUUAGUUUGAAGUAUAAUGUUGCAGCGAAACAAAAUGUUCCAGCAAUGAUGAAGUGUGGCACUUCCAUUUGCCAUGCUGAUAUUAAAUUUCCAGUUAUUUCCAUGGCAUGUAUGGACCAGUUAGCCUAGAGACUUGGCAGAUUUAUCUACCUGGUUCUGUUUUUUGGUAUCCCUGACCAUCCUCCCAUUUGCAGCAUUCGGUAUGUGCUGUCAAACAUCGACAAUUGCAUCCAGUACGGGGAAGAUACUGAUGUGAAAGUUAGGGAUUUCAUUCCUAAGGAUGAUGAUUGACCAUUUGAUCAAGCAAAAGCAACAAAUUAGUCUGUAUCAUGUAGUGUGGGUCCAUGGGAGGAGGAAUUCACGGCCACACGUUGCCGCUCAACAAGCAGAAGCGAUGUUUAUAUGUUUCAAUCGUUGGUCGGAAAAACAAAAGAGAAUGCAUCUGCAGAGCGUAUUUAGUCACCUUAUGCUUGUGUGGUUUGUAGUUACCAAUUGCUUUUAAAAAGUCCUCCUCUUCCGGAGCUCUUGAAUGGCACCAGACAUGAGUGGUACUGUAAUACCAUGGUACUGUAAUACCUAAAAUAGUGUAUGCGCCGUUGCAUCAAUUCUGCUCCUUUAUUUCUGAACAC